CAAAUGAGGAUGGAUUCUCGAGUUGAUGUGAUAGAGAGGAGUUUGGGUGCUUUAGAAGAAGGCAUGAUGAAGAAACUUGAUAAGGGAAUGAUGCGUCUUGCUAGUGAAGGGGAACAUAUUGAUAGAAGAGUAAGUGUCGUUUUGGAGGAGACUUGAAGUUUCGGCCUCAUAAAUCUAUUUCCUUGCAGUCGAGGGUGGUGCUUGAUAUUGCUUGAGAUUCUCGGGUUGAUGAAUGAUCAAGAUAUUGCCUACAAUAAAAAAAAAGAAAUGAGGUCGGUGGCUUAACCAAGGCCACUUUGACGCUCAAGUCAGUAAAUACUUGAUAAAGAAAAAGCAAACACUGAAAGAAAUUUUAGUGUAGAAUUGGGUACCUUGAGAAUUG
rnacentral:misc_RNA from 1 species